GAUGAACGCUGGCGGCGUGCCUAAUACAUGCAAGUCGAGCGAACAGACGAGGAGCUUGCUCCUCUGACGUUAGCGGCGGACGGGUGAGUAACACGUGGAUAACCUACCUAUAAGACUGGGAUAACUUCGGGAAACCGGAGCUAAUACCGGAUAAUAUAUUGAACCGCAUGGUUCAAUAGUGAAAGACGGUUUUGCUGUCACUUAUAGAUGGAUCCGCGCCGCAUUAGCUAGUUGGUAAGGUAACGGCUUACCAAGGCGACGAUGCGUAGCCGACCUGAGAGGGGGAUCGGCCACACUGGAGCUGAGACACGGGCCAGACUCCUACGGGAGGCAGCAGUAGGGAAUCUACCGCAAUGGGCGAAAGCCUGACGGAGCAACGCCGCGUGAGUGAUGAAGGUCUUCGGAUCGUAAAACUCUGUUAUUAGGGAAGAACAAAUGUGUAAGUAACGAUGCACGUCUUGACGGUACCUAAGCAGAAAGCCACGGCUAACUACGU
rnacentral:rRNA from 1 species